rnacentral:rRNA from 1 species
GCUUGUCUCAAAGAUUAAGCCAUGCAUGUCUAAGUGUAAAUAAGUCUAUACUGUGAAACUGCGAAUGGCUCAUUAAAUCAGUUAUCGUUUAUUUGAUGAUCUCUUACUACUUGGAUAACCGUAGUAAUUCUAGAGCUAAUACAUGCACAAAAUCCCGACUUACGAAGGGAUGUAUUUAUUAGAUACAAACCAACAUCGUGGUGAUUCAUAAUAACUUUGCGAAUCGUAUGCCUCACGGCGACGAUGAAUCAUUCAAAUUUCUGCCCUAUCAGUUGUGGAUGGUAGGGUAUUGGCCUACCAUGACUUUAACGGGUAACGGAGAAUUAGGGUUCGAUUCCGGAGAGGGAGCCUGAGAAAUGGCUACCACAUCCAAGGAAGGCAGCAGG